AGUGAACGCUGGCGGUAGGCCUAACACAUGCAAGUCGAACGGCAGCACAGUAAGAGCUUGCUCUUACGGGUGGCGAGUGGCGGACGGGUGAGGAAUACAUCGGACUCUACUAUUUCGUGGGGGAUAACGUAGGGAAACUUACGCUAAUACCGCAUACGACCUACGGGUGAAAGCAGGGGAUCUUCGGACCUUGCGCGAUUGACUGAGCCGAUGUCGGAUUAGCUAGUUGGCGGGGUAACGGCCCACCAAGGCGACGAUCCGUAGCUGGUCUGAGAGGAUGAACAGCCAUACUGUAACUGAGACACGGUCCAGACUCCUACGGGAGGCAGCCGUGGGGAAUAUUGGUCAAUGGGCGCAAGCCUGAUCCAGCCAUACCGCGUGGGUGAAGAAGGCCUUCGGGUUGUAAAGCCCUUUUGUUGGGAAAGAAAAGCAGCAGGUUAAUACCCCGCUGUUCUGACGGUACCCAAAGAAUAAGCACCGGCUAACUUCGUG
rnacentral:rRNA from 1 species